GACGAACGCUGGCGGCGCGCCUAACACAUGCAAGUCGAACGAGCGAGAGGGAGCUUGCUUUCUCGAGCGAGUGGCGAACGGGUGAGUAACGCGUGAGGAACCUGCCUCAAAGAGGGGGACAACAGUUGGAAACGACUGCUAAUACCGCAUAAGCCCACGGUGCCGCAUGGCACAGAGGGGAAAGGAGCAAUCCGCUUUGAGAUGGCCUCGCGUCCGAUUAGCUAGUUGGUGAGGUAAUGGCCCACUAAGGCGACGAUCGGUAGCCGGACUGAGAGGUUGAACGGCCACAUUGGGACUGAGACACGGCCCAGACUCCUACGGGAGGCAGCAGUGGGGAAUAUUGCACAAUGGGGGAAACCCUGAUGCAGCGACGCCGCGUGGAGGAAGAAGGUCUUCGGAUUGUAAACUCCUGUUGUUGGGGAAGAUAAUGACGGUACCCAACAAGGAAGUGACGGCUAACUACGUG
rnacentral:rRNA from 1 species